rnacentral:rRNA from 1 species
CGGGUGGCUGCAGUGGGGAAUUUUGCGCAAUGGGCGAAAGCCUGACGCAGCGACGCCGCGUGAGGGAUGAAGGUCUUAGGAUCGUAAACCUCUGUCAGGAAGCAUUAAAUGUACGGAUAUCAACACCAUCCGUACUUGACUUAACUUCCAGAGGAAGCCCCGGCUAACUACGUGCCAGCAGCCGCGGUAAUACGUAGGGGGCAAGCGUUACUCGGAUUUAUUGGGCGUAAAGAGAAUUAAGGCGGUCAUGUAAGUCAGUGGUGAAAUCCCUCAGCUCAACUGAGGAAUUGCCUUUGAUACUGCGUGACUUGAGGACAGGAGAGGAAGGCGGAAUUCCCGGUGUAGCGGUGGAAUGCGUAGAUAUCGGGAGGAACACCUGAGGCGAAGGCGGCUUUCUGGACUGGUCCUGACGCUGAUAUUCGAAAGCUAGGGGAGCAAACAGGAUUAGAUACCCUUGUAGUC